CCGGACUGCAGUGGCACAAUCUCGGCUCACUGCAAGCUCCACCUCCCGGGUUCACGCCAUUCUCCUGCCUCAGCCUCCCGAGUAGCUGGGACCACAGGUGCCCACCACCACGCCCGGCUAAUUUUUUGUAUUUUUAGUAGAGACGGGGUUUCACCGUGUUGGCCAGGAUGGUCUCGAUCUCCUGACCUUGUGAUCCACCCACCUCGGCCUCCCAAAGAGCUGGGAUUACAGGCGCCCGCCACCACGCCCGGCUAAUUUU
rnacentral:lncRNA from 1 species